AACGAACGCUGGCGGCAGGCUUAACACAUGCAAGUCGAGCGCCCCGCAAGUGGAUCCGCAGACUGGUGAGUACCGCGUGGGAACGUACCCUUAUCUUCGGGAUAGCUCCGGGAAACUGGAAUUAAUACCGAAUGUGCCCUUUUGGUGAAAGGUUUAUCGGCUAAGGAUCGGCCCGCGCUGGAUUAGCUAGUUGGUGGGGUAAAGGCCUACCAAUGCGACGAUCCAUAGCUGGUCUGAGAGGAUGAUCAGCCACAUUGGGACUGAGACACGGCCGAGACUCCUACGGGAGGCAGCAGUGGGGAAUAUUGGACAAUGGGCGCAAGCCUGAUCCAGCCAUGCCGCGUGAGUGAUGAAGGCCUUAGGGUUGUAAAGCUCUUUCACCGGAGAAGAUAAUGACGGUAUCCGGAGAAGAAGCCCCGGCUAACUUCGUG
rnacentral:rRNA from 1 species